rnacentral:rRNA from 1 species
AGAGUUUGAUCCUGGCUCAGAACGAACGCUGGCGGCGUGCCUCAUACAUGCAAGUCGAGCGAGAACGGUUCCUUCGGGGACUUAUUAAAGCGGCAAACGGGUGAGUAACACGUGGGAAACCUGCCCUCGGGUUAGGGAUAAGCUUGCGAAAGCGAGUCUAAUACCGAAUAACACCAUUUGAUCGCAUGGUUGAAUGAUCAAAGUAGUGAUACGCCUGAGGAUGGUCCCGCGCCCCAUUAGCUUGAUGGUAGGGUAAUGGCCUACCAUGGCUGCGAUGGGUAGCCGGCCUGAGAGGGUGAUCGGCCACACUGGGACUGAGAUACGGCCCAGACUCCUACGGGAGGCAGCAGUAGGGAAUAUUGCGCAAUGGUCUAACGGCUGACGCAGCAACGCCGCGUGGAUGAUGAAGCUUUUAGGAGUGUAAAAUCCUUUCAGUGGGGAAGAAUGUCUCUUCGGAGGCUUGACGGUACCCACAGAAGAAGCACCGGCUAACUCCGUGCCAGCAGCCGCGGUAAUACGGAGGGUGCAAGCGUUGUUCGGAUUUACUGGGCGUAAAGCGCACGUAGGCGGACUGUCAAGUCGGGUGUGAAAACCAGAGGCUUAACCUCUGGCCUGCACUCGAAACUGAUAGUCUUGAGUACCGGAGAGGAUGGCGGAAUUCCUGGUGUAGCGGUGAAAUGCGUAGAUAUCAGGAAGAACACCGGCGGCGAAGGCGGCCAUCUGGACGGAUACUGACGCUCAGGUGCGAAGGCUAGGGGAGCAAACAGGAUUAGAUACCCUGGUAGUCCUUAGCGUUAAACGAUGGGCACUAGGUGUUGGCGGAAUCGACUCGCCAGUGCCGCAACUAAGCAUUAAGUGCCCCGCCUGGGAGUAACGGCCGCAAGCUGAAUUAAAUGUAUGACG